rnacentral:lncRNA from 10 species
CACUCAACAUCAGCUCUUGAGAGCAGCCGCAGACGCUGAACCGUGCAAUGCCACAGGAUUGGAGCUGCCCAAGGCCUUGGGAGGGAGUCCAUUCCUUGCACCAGUGUGCCCUGGAUGUGAGACGUGGGGUCGAAGGAGAUUAUUUUGGAGCUUUGAGGUUUAAUGACUGACCUGCUGGGUUUUGGACUUGCAUGGGGUCUGUAGCCCUUUUAUUUUGACCACAUUCUCCCUUUUGGGAGUAUUUACCCAAUGCCUGUACCCCCACUGUAUCUUGGGAGUAACUAAUUUGUUUUUUUAUUUUACAGGAUCAUAGAUGGAAAUGACUAGCCUUGUCUCAGAUGACACUUCGAACUUUGGACUUUUGAGUUAAUGUUGGAAUAAGUUAAGACUUUCGGGGACUGUUGGGAAGGCAGGAUUGUAUUUUGAAAUUUGAGAAGGACAUAAAAUUUGGGAGGGGGCAGCAUGGAAUCAUAUGGUCUAGAUAUAUGACCCUGUCCAAAUCUCAAAUCUAACUGUAAUUCCCAGUGUUGGAGGUGGGGUCUGGUGGGAGGUGAUUUGAUCAUGGAGGUGGAGUUCUCAUUAAUGAUUUAGAGCCAUCCCUUUUGUUAUGGUAUAGUGAGUGAGUUAUCACAAGAUCUCUUUGUUUAAAAGUUUGUGGUACCUCCCACCUCUCUCUCUUGCUCCUGCUCUGGCCAUGUAAGACGUGCCUGCUUCCCCUUCACCUUCUUGCAUGAUUGUAAGUUUCCUGAGGCCUCCCCAAAAGCAGAAGCCACUAUGCUUCCUGAACAGCCAAUGGAACCAUGAGCCAAUUAAACCUCUUCUUUAUAAAUU